AACCUACAUGGGAAUGGGCAAUUCUCAGUGGAGUCUAUGUAUAGAGCUUUGAUCCAGUCUGACAUGACAGUUGAUAAUAAUAAGAAGAUCUGGAAGAUGAAGAUACCUCUUAAGAAUAAAAUCUUUGCAUGGUAUCUUCUUCGAGGAGUCAUUCUUACUAAAGAUAACCUUAUUAAGAGGAAUUGGCAUGGAAGUACGCAAUGUGUAUUUUUUCCACAUGAUGAGACAAUAAAACAUUUGUUCUUCCAAUGUAAAUUGGCUCAUUCUACAUGGCCAGUCAUCCAAAUAGCUUCUGGCUUGUAUCCUCCUUGUAGUGUUGCUAAUAUAUUUGGCAACUGGUUACAUGGGAUUGAUCAUAGGUUCAGAAUUCUACUUAGGGUAGGAGCGCUUGCCAUGAUUUGGUCACUUUGGCUAUGUAGAAAUGAUAAGAUUUUUAACGAUAAAAGUACUUCGCAUAUGUAG
rnacentral:rRNA from 1 species